rnacentral:rRNA from 1 species
UACGUAGGGACCAAGCGUUGUUCGGAUUACUGGGCGUAAAGGGCGCGUAGGCGGCUUAACAAGUCACUUGUGAAAUCUCCGGGCUUAACUCGGAACGGCCAAGUGAAACUGUCAAGCUAGAGUGCAGAAGGGGCAAUCGGAAUUCUUGGUGUAGCGGUGAAAUGCGUAGAUAUCAAGAGGAACACCUGAGGUGAAGACGGGUUGCUGGGCUGACACUGACGCUGAGGCGCGAAAGCCAGGGGAGCAAACGGG